rnacentral:misc_RNA from 1 species
GCUUGAGCAGGCACGGCCACGCGUGCAUUCCUUUUCAGCUGUGCGACAAGGCUUGUAUCGUCUUGAUCGUAUAAGUGGGUUUCCUGUGUUGCAUACCUGAUCAAUGGCAUCGUCUUGAUCAAAAGUGUCUAUUUUUCGUCUGGCAAUGCCCCUGCAUUGUCGGAUGAACCACGUAGCAUCCUCUUUGAUCCAUACAGUUGACGUGCUAUCGUUGAUUGUUUGGCCCAUUGAGCGGUGACUCGGUCUCUCGGAUAUGGAAGCCAAAGUGGGCAUGGGAUCGCAAGAUCUCUUUAUUGUCCUCAUUGAGCGUUCUCACUUCUCUUACAUGACCGCCUUUCACGUAUGGCUACGUCCCAGCGUGUUUGGCUACGUCGAAGAGGAAUGUUGGGCGUUCUUGCUUUUCUUAAACGACUGCCUUUCACGUAUGGCACGUCCCAGCGUGUUUGGC